rnacentral:rRNA from 1 species
UACGGGGGGAGCAAGCGUUGUUCGGAUUUACUGGCGUAAAGGGCGCGUAGGCGGCCACCGCAAGUCGGUUGUGAAAUCUCUGGGCUUAACCCAGAAAGGUCAACCGAUACUGCGGGGCUAGAGUGCAGAAGGGGCAACUGGAAUUCUCGGUGUAGCGGUGAAAUGCGUAGAUAUCGAGAGGAACACCUGCGGCGAAGGCGGGUUGCUGGGCUGACACUGACGCUGAAGCGCGAAAGCUAGGGGAGCGAACGGG